CCUACGGGUGGCAGCAGUAGGGAAUCUUCCACAAUGGGCGAAAGCCUGAUGGAGCAACGCCGCGUGGGUGAAGAAGGUCUUCGGAUCGUAAAACCCUGUUGGUAGAGAAGAAAGUGCGUGAGAGUAACUGUUCACGUGUCGACGGUAUCGAACCAGAAAGCCACGGCUAACUACGUGCCAGCAGCCGCGGUAAUACGUAGGUGGCAAGCGUUAUCCGGCUUUAAUGGGCGUAAAGGGAACGCAGGCGGUCGUUUCAGUCUGAGGGGAAAGCCUUCGGCUUCACCGGAGUAGGGCCUUGGAAACUGGGAGACUUGAGUGCAGAAGAGGCGAGUGGCACUCCAUGUGUCGCGGU
rnacentral:rRNA from 1 species